rnacentral:lncRNA from 1 species
AGCAGAACGCCCGGCAAAUGACAGCUGCUGGCCCCAGACAGGGCCAGAGAGAGGAGUUUUACAAGGUGCCACCUCAGAAAGGCACCUGUCAAUCCAAGCCUGCAGUGGCCAGAGGGGUGGCAGGGCAAGGGCAGGUGGUCUGCAACUAUCAAUACAACUGCAAAAGCAGCUGCCUUGCCCUUUCUGGUCCAUGACAGCAUGGAUUGUGAGCUUCCACGGGGUUUCCGGCUACAGUACAGACCAUGAACAUUGCUUCAGGAAGCAGCACAGACCACGGAUGUCCCCAGGGCCUUUGGUGGUACAUUGGCCCCUGGCCACAGGUGGGCCACAGACACAUGAGCAUUGCCUCCAGCUCCAACACAGCCCAUGGAUCUUCAACAUGGCUUCAGGAGGCAUCACAGGCCAUACAUUUCUUAGUCGGGGUUUCUAUUGCUGGGAUGAAACACCAUAACCAAAAGCAAGUUGGGAAGGAAAGGGUUUCUUCAUCAUAUACGUCCAGAUCAUAGUCCAUCAUUGGAGAAGUCAGGGCAGGAACCCAAGCAGGACAGAAUCCUGGAGGCAGGGGCUGAAACAGAAGCCAUGGGUGUGGGGGGGUGCUGUUUACUGGCUUGCUCCCCAUGGCUUGCUCAGCCUGCUUUCUCAUAGAACCCAGGACCAGCAGCCCAGGAAUGGCACCACCUACAAUGGUCUGAUCUCUCCCCUGUUGGUCACUAAUUGAUAAAAUGCCUUACAGUUGGAUCCCAUGGAAUCAUUUCCUUCCUCUCUGAUGACUCUAGCUUGUGUCAAGUUGACACGAAAGACCAGCCAACAUACAACAUAUAUCCACAUGGCCUUUGGUGUUAACAUGGAGCACAGACCUCAACAUGGCCUCUGACAAGAGCACAGACAGAGCACGGAUAUCCACACUGGCUCUAGUUGCAGCACAGACUGUGGACAUCAACAUAGCCCCCAGCAGCUGCAGACAGUAAGUUGGCCUCAGGCAAUAGCACAGGCCACACACAUCAACGUGGUUUCCAGCAGGAAUGAGGACCACAGACUCUAAUAUGGCUCUCAGCAGCAGCAUGGAUUAUGGUCAUCAACCUGGCCUACAGUGAGAACACAGACCAUGGAUGCCCUCAAAGCCUCCUGCCACAGCUUGGACGUUGGACACUAACAUGACCCUCAGGAGCAACACAGGCCACAGGAUGUCCAGGGUUUUGUUUUGUUUUUAGUUCUUUAUAUAUUUUAGUCAUCAACCUUCUAUCAAUUGUAUGAUUGAAAUAAGUCUUUUCCCAUUCUGUAGGCUGUGGAUUUGUCCUAAUGGUGGUAUUCUUUGCCUUACAGAAGUUUUCAGUUUCAUGAGGUCUCAUUAAUUAAUUGUUAAUCUUAGUGCCUGAGCUAUAAGUGUUCUUUUUAGGACUUUGUCUCCUGUGCCAAUACAUUUAAGACUAUUCCCA